rnacentral:rRNA from 1 species
ACGCUGGCGGCAGGCUUAACACAUGCAAGUCGAACGGUAACAGGAAUUAGCUUGCUAAUUUGCUGACGAGUGGCGGACGGGUGAGUAAUGCUUGGGAAUCUGGCUUAUGGAGGGGGAUAACUACGGGAAACUGUAGCUAAUACCGCGUAAAAUCUUCGGAUUAAAGGGUGGGACUUUCGAGCCACCUGCCAUAAGAUGAGCCCAAGUGGGAUUAGGUAGUUGGUUAGGUAAAGGCUGACCAAGCCGACGAUCUCUAGCUGGUCUGAGAGGAUGACCAGCCACACUGGAACUGAGACACGGUCCAGACUCCUACGGGAGGCAGCAGUGGGGAAUAUUGCACAAUGGGGGGAACCCUGAUGCAGCCAUGCCGCGUGAAUGAAGAAGGCCUUCGGGUUGUAAAGUUCUUUCGGUGACGAGGAAGGUUGAUAGGUUAAUAGCCUAUCAAAUUGACGUUAAUCACAGAGGAAGCACCGGCUAACUCCGUGCCAGCAGCCGCGGUAAUACGGGGGGUGCGAGCGUUAAUCGGAAUAACUGGGCGUAAAGGGCACGCAGGCGGUGACUUAAGUGAGAUGUGAAAGCCCCGAGCUUAACUUGGGAAUUGCAUUUCAUACUGGGUCGCUAGAGUACUUUAGGGAGGGGUAGAAUUCCACGUGUAGCGGUGAAAUGCGUAGAGAUGUGGAGGAAUACCGAAGGCGAAGGCAGCCCCUUGGGAAUGUACUGACGCUCAUGUGCGAAAGCGUGGGGAGCAAACAGGACUAGAUACCCUGGUAGUCCACGCUGUAAACGAUGUCGAUUUGGGGAUUGGGCUUUGAGCUUGGUGCCCGUAGCUAACGUGAUAAAUCGACCGCCUGGGGAGUACGGCCGCAAGGUUAAAACUCAAAUGAAUUGACGGGGGCCCGCACAAGCGGUGGAGCAUGU